CAUAUAACGCUAUCGUGAAUGAUUUGAUAACAACUUGUUAAUAUGCAUAAUAAUAUGCACCGGCGCCAUAUGUUUCGAUUGCACUGACACCUAACUUACUGCGUGAAACUUCUAGACGCACAUAAUUUUUAACAUGAUUCGAUGGUUUUCUGAGCACUCGUUAGGAAAAAUAUUUUUUUGGAUCAACCUUGAUAUACGUCACAGCAUUCAAAUCUAUUUUCCGAAGUAAGUUAGAUUAUGUUACCACAAAAGAACAUAAUUUCAUUUUAUUGUUUGGAAUAUUAUUGUUGGAUUUUCUUAGAAGAAACUCUUAUUAAAGAUGAGAAAAUCAUACACGUUAACCGUCCUCGAUGCAGAAGUGCUCGCGAUAUACUGACUAAAUUUCUCGAAAGAUAGAUGUCUGAAUCGAAAACAACCUCCUCCCUCGCUAAAUAAACGACGGCGUCGGCGUCAUGAUGCGUCGAAAUGCUAAGGAUGUUGUAUAUUAAAACAUGCAUUUAUAUGCACGAAUGAGAGAAGAAUCAAAUAAAUCCGAUAAAAGUCAAAUAAUAUAGGAUAAAUAAAUAAUGCCAGAAAAUCAUUAUCGCCAUUAAACAAAAGAUUGGGAGACUUUACAUUGGAAGAUACUUUUGAAAUGUGGCAACGACAAGAAAACUGGGUAACAACCUUGGCAGUAACGGGACUAAAAAUAUGAAUUCGUUCUACGUUAUGGCCGGUACCUCGUAUACUAGAGGGGGUUCGUUUUAUGUUAAAGUUAAAUUUGGCGGCGUUCCAAACGGUGCUUGGGAAUAAAAAAGAAGAAAAUUUCCCCCCUACUGACAUUAUUCGGGCAUAGUCAGGCCUACUUCAUUCUGGCCUUUGCCGAGUUCAUUUCGUUCGCGAUGUUAUUCACUCCAUGGAAUGUCUUCGAGUAAAUGAGCUGUAAAAGAUUAUUAAGGAGUCAGGG